rnacentral:rRNA from 1 species
UACGGAGGGUGCAAGCGUUAAUCGGAAUUACUGGGGGUAAAGCGUGCGCAGGCGGCUUUGCAAGACAGAUGUGAAAUCCCCGGGCUCAACCUGGGAACUGCAUUUGUGACUGCAAGGCUAGAGUACGGCAGAGGGGGAUGGAAUUCCGCGUGUAGCAGUGAAAUGCGUAGAUAUGCGGAGGAACACCAAUGGCGAAGGCAAUCCCCUGGGCCUGUACUGACGCUCAUGCACGAAAGCGUGGGGAGCAAACAGG